GUCUGGUACCCCUACAGUCCACUCUGUUCUCUCACGUAGCUCAGGUCAUUCUCCUGGAACUGUCUGGUACCACUACAGUCUACUCUGUUCUCUCAUGUAGCUCAGGUCAUUCUCCUGUAACUGUCUGGUACCACUACAGUCCACUCUGUUCUCUCACGUAGCUCAGGUCAUUCUCCUGUAACUGUCUGGUACCCCUACAGUCCACUCUGUUCUCUCACGUAGCUCAGGUCAUUCUCCUGGAACUGUCUGGUACCCCUACAGUCUACUCUGUUCUCUCAUGUAGCUCAGGUCAUUCUCCUGGAACUGUCUGGUACCCCUACAGUCCACUCUGUUCUCUCACGUAGCUCAGGUCAUUCUCCUGGAACUGUCUGGUACCCCUACAGUCCACUCUGUUCUCUCACGUAGCUCAGGUCAUUCUCCUGUAACUGUCUGGUACCCCUACAGUCCACUCUGUUCUCU
ensembl:lncRNA